GUGCUCGCUUCGGCAGCAUAGAUACUAAAAUUGGAACGAUACAGAGAUUAGCAUGGCCCCUGAGGAAGGAUGAUGUGCAAAUCUGUGAAGCGUUCUAUAUUUUU